rnacentral:rRNA from 1 species
GACGAACGCUGGCGGCGUGCCUAAUACAUGCAAGUUGAGCGCUGAAGGCUGGUACUUGUACUAACUGGAUGAGCAGCGAACGGGUGAGUAACGGGUGGGGAAUCCGCCACUGAGCGGUGAACAACAGUUGCAAACGAAUGCUAAGACCGCAUAAAAACUUUAAACACAAGUGUUAAGUUUGAAAGAUGCAAUUGCGUCACUCAAAGAGGAUCCCGCGUUGUAUUAGCUAUUUGGGGAGGUAAAGGCUCACCAAGGCGAUGAGACAUAGCCGACCUGAGAGGGGGAUCGGCCCCAUUGGGAUUGAGACACGGCCCAAACUCCUACGGGAGGCAGCAGUAGGAAAUCUUGGGCAAUGGACGAAAGUCUGACCGAGCAACGAAGCGUGAGUGAAGAAGGUUUUCGGAUCGUAAAACUCUGUUGGUAGGGAAGAACGUUGGUGAGAGUGGAAAGCUCAUCAAGUGACGGUAACUACACAGAAAGGGACGGCUAACUACGUG